rnacentral:lncRNA from 1 species
CUUGUUGAAUUAGAUAAUCAAAACUAUUAAACAGUAUUUCAAAAUGCUUUUCAUAAUCCUGGGACCAUUAAUGUCAUGUUCAAAUCACUGUGGAUUUUUGUUGUUGUUGUUGCUUUUACUAUUCAUGGGGAUACAAUGAGUCAUUGGCACAUUUCCAGUGCAAGAUGCAUUUGAAUAAUACAUGACAUGCCCUUUAGCUAGCAUCAUGAUGCCAGAUUUAAAACAAGGUAAGAAGUUUCCUCCAUGUACACUUGCAGUGUUCAGCUGUUCAUAAUCUAUAGCGUUAACAAUUUAUCAUCAAACCCAGCGACUUGCUGCCAACUUAUCAAAGUGGCCACUGGAUGCAUAUGAUCAAGUCUGAGCAUCUGGCUCUCCUCUGUUCCUGACAUUAGCACAGACAACAGAAUCAGUGGACUAUUGAAUGCAAUUACAGUAAGCGAGACAGACAAUAAAGAUUGAUAGCGCCUUCUCUUUUUAUCACACACAAAACUAGUGGGGGUUAAAGCUUUGCCUUGAGCUGCCUUCAUUUAACAAUGAUUGAAAAUAUGCAAUUGUGUUGGUAAAACACUGUAGCCUGUACCACUUCAUUUACUGGACACAUUAUCAAAUUAAAUGAAAAGUGAACUGCCAAAAGCAACAGUUAUUAUAUAUUAAUGAUGAAUAUUUACUUAGCAUUGUUCACAAAUCAUACAGAGAACAGAAUCCUUCUUGUUAUCGUCUUUGCAAGUUACAGUUGAGUAGGCUUAACAUUUCUAUGUUUACGUUAAGUCUUCUGUCUACAAAUCUCUAAAUACAGACUUGCACGAUUGGUUUUGUGACUAUCCAUGUGAUUACAAUGUGUAAUUAAUAAAAUGCUCUAGUUAUAGAUGAAUCCUAAUUAUUGAAGAGCUUUUUUCCCCUUUAUGACAAUUCUCAUUCUUGUAGCUAUUCUUGUAGCAAGAGAAAAUUAGCCAGGGGUAUAUGUUGUGAUUAUAAGGUUAGGGACUUCAGCUUCAUUGAGCUCUUGAAAUUCGGAAUGUGAAAAAGACCCUCAAGAUACAGACAAGCCACAGAGUUAUACCUUAUAUUUUUUCUUCAAAGAAUAUUGCUUUAGUAGCCAUUAGGGGAUAUAACAGUCCAACCAUAGUUUGACCUCCAAAAUAUGAAAUGCAUCUGGGGCAAAAGGCAAAAUGGUUCAGUAUAAAAGUAUUGAGCAGACAAGACAGGGGAAAAUGGAUGCUAUUCCACAGUCCAUACAGGAGGAAACUGAAUUCUAAGCAAACAUCAAUAGAUCUGGGAAUAUUAAAAUAUGCGUCUCAUUGUUAAGUGGACAAACAUUUGGUGUGCAUACCGGCGUGUCAGAAAGACGGCAGGCAGACAUGAUUGUUCAAAGUGAGGUAGAUUAAUUCAAGAUUUUUUUUAAAAACACACACAUCUGGCCUUUCCUUUCCAAUGAUAGACACAGGAAAAGAAGGCACUCCCAUAUGAAAUGUAAUCAUGUCUCUUUUCUAAGAGCUCAAUAACGUGAGAAGGUAACAUAUCCCAAACAAAAAGAUAAGAAAAAGUAAAAGACGAGAAGGGUGAAGAACCAGUCACAGGUUUUCUAAAGCCACCCCCACUGGUUAUUCUGUAAGCAAUUAAAUACAUACUCAGAAGUGCUGAGUUUAGAAUUAGAGCAUCAACCAUAUGUAGUUAAUAUAAAUUGCAGCACAAGGGACAGGAUAUUCAGCAAGUGUGGAAAACUCACCAAAGUAAUGGCAUCACCGCAGUAGAUUGAGAAUCUGGAAACCAAAAGCAGCCGAAUCAGUAUUCAUGAAAUGUAAAGGAAACAAUUAUGUUCACCAGAAUUUACCUUCAAGCAAAAUCUAAGUGAAAUCACUCUUUCUAAGCACAUUUAAAUUCUAAGGUCCAUGUGGCCUUUCAAUCAUUUGGAAAUGUAUAAGCCUUUGCCAAUUAUUCUCAAACCAAACCAACUAAUAGAGUUAUCUCAGGAGCUUCAUAAAAUGCAAAUGCCUGGGUCCCAAUCUUUGGGAAUUUUUUAUUCACUAUGUUUUGGGCAGAGCAAUGGGUACUUUGGCAAGUAAAAGAUGAAAAAGCUUAAAGAAAACCUAUCACCUGUAAAGCCACCAUCUGUGACCCAUCUUUUCAUCCAUGCAUAUUUUUUGACCUAUGAAUGUAAACUUUCUCAAUAACUUGGGGGGUCACUUUACAAAAAUGUAAAUAAAAAAGAAAUAGAGGUUUAUGGUGAAAAAUCAACACACUACACAUCAAUACAAAUAAAGACAUGAAAGAGUGCCCCUGCUAUCCUUCAACAGUUGCUUUAACGAGUUAUUGUUCAAUAUAGAUGUGUCUUUACAAUCUUUAUUUUAUAGUCUUUACCACAUGGAGGGGUUGGGGGUGGGAGGGUGUUUAUGGUAAGAUUGUGUCUCAGCCUCUUCUACCUUCUUUAAUGUGGCUUUCUUCUCAUUUGUCAAAUAUGUAAUCAUCAUUCAGCCAGACUUUAGGUUUUUUUAAGAGGCAAUAUUUCCAUAUGUAGCUACAGAUGCCAUGUGUCCAUGGUGAGUUCAGAAUUUGCCUGUACUGACCUCUCAUCCUUUAUGUAUUUAUUUUAAUUUUACAUAAUCAAAAUUGGGCUACAGGUAUUAUUCUUGAGAACUGCCCUUUUCAUUUCAUGUUAUUCUGAGUUAUAUCUAGAUUUAUCUAAAACUACAUAUUUUUCUUAUUGUUUUUAAUGGCUAUAUAGUAUUCCAUAAUAUACUAUAUAGCCAUUAUAUAAUCAUAAUUAUUUUAGCCUUUAUCGUCUUUUUUACUAUUGUUUCUAACUUACUAGUUUUACAAAAAAAUACAUGUAUAAAAAUUAUACAUAUAUGUCUUCACUUAUAUGAAGUUUUUUUGCAGUUUAGAAUAGAAAUAGAAUUUCUGUAUUGAAAGCAUGUAAUUUAAAAUUUUAAUAAAUACUGAAAAAUUAUCUGUCCAAAAGGCUAUGUCCUUUUCUACUUUCACCUACAAAAAUUAUAAGAGGGCCCAUUUCUCCAUGACUCAUUGGUGCUAGCUAACUAUUUUGCAUAGCUUAAAGUGUAAAAUUUUACCAAUAUCCAUCUCACAAGAUUGUGGGAAGACUAAGUGAGAUAGGAAAUACAGAGUCUAGCAUGGCAUUGCCCAGAGAGAAAAUGCUCAAUUGAUAUAAGUCUAGUGUCAGAGUUCCCCACUGUGGCAUAGCAGGUUAAGGAUGCAACUACAGUGGCUCUAGUCACUGCAGAGGCACAGAGUUGUUCCCCAGUCCAGUGCAGUGGGUUAAAGAUCCAAUAUUGCCACAGGGGUGUGGCCUCCCAAAAAAAACAAAAGCCAAAAAGCAAAAACCACAUCAGUCUAGUGUCAUUAGCAUUAAUGCUUCAACAUAUCUCAAAUACCUGAUUUUUGUAUUAAAUUCAAAGUGUUUUUCUACUUCCCAAAUUUCUCUCAAAACUAAUAAGGGCUGUGUUUGAUGAAGGUUUUCAUGGAACAAUCCCCUUCAUGGAGCCAAGGGCUCCUGAAGUAAAUGUCACUUUAAAAGGAUAGAUAUUUUUAUUUCCUUGGUCACUGAAUGAUUUCUAAAGUAGUUGAGGCAUCAGGGCCUUAAGAGCAAAGUGCAGGCUGAUGCAUGUCAAUUACAGUACAGAAUUUUGAGAGCUGAUGGCCACAUCUUGCUUAAUCAAAGAACAUGUUAGGCACAUAACUGCAUGUAGGUAACUACAUAUUUUAAAGACUUCUGGGUAACCUCUGUUGCACAGCCCAGCCCUGAAUGUCUGGUGGCUCUGAGGUGUCUAGGAAUCCUGCACUGGGAGGUGGAGCCACUAUCUCCAAGGGACGAAGGGAGGGUCUAGUCGCUGGUCCCUCAGAGAAAUCAAAGGACACACCCCUGGUGUGUGCCACUCAUGAUGCACAAGCAAAGGUUCU